rnacentral:rRNA from 1 species
AUGCCUCACGUCGAGGGUGCUGGUGCAAUUCCUAUUGGUGGUGGUGAAGUGGGGUUCGCGAAGCUGCAGGGUGAGGAUUUUGAGUACUACAUGCAGACCUACUCGAUCAUGCUGGGCCGCAACAGCAAGAAAUCGACGGUGGAUGUCGAUCUUUCCAGCCUUGGUGGGGGCAUGAACAUCUCGCGCCACCAUGCACGGAUAUUCUACGACUUCCAGCACCGCCGCUUCACGCUCGAUGUCAUCGGGAAGAACGGCUGCCUUGUUGAGGGUGUCCUGCAUCUCCCUGGGAAUCCUCCUCUUAAGCUUGACUCGCAGGACCUCCUUCAGAUUGGGGACAAGAAGUUUUACUUCCUCCUGCCUACAAGGUCUAUCUUUGCCUCGCUUGCCGCUGCUCGACAAGCCCCUUUUAUUCCGUCACAUAUCGCACCGCCAUCGUAUGUGCAGCCAGGGCACCCUCGUGUGUCCGAUUUCCAUGACCGCCUCCCUGAAGGUGAUUAUGGCCGGGACAGUGAUGACAUUGGGAAUGGUGUCAGUGCAAGUGGAAUGAAUGGCAAGCUGAAGAGAGCCAAAAAGUCUCCGGGAGAUUUAGACAUCUAUGGUGGGCACAUAAUCAAUGUUGAACCAAUAGGAACAAUCGGCGAGGACAAUAGACCAGAAAUAAGGUUGAGGGGUGACCGGGAUGUGGACAACCAGCACAUCCUUCAAUUGGAAGAGAAGGAAGUCGUGUCAUCUGUUGCGACUGUGUUAUCUGACCUUUGUGGUCCUGGACAAUAUAUGCCUAUGAGAAAACUUCACACAGAGCUUGUGGACCGGUUUGGCAACGUCUGGCACCACACCAGGGUGCGGAAGUACCUGACCUGGGAGGAGUGGUCGCCAAUUAUAGCCAAGGGGAGGCCAUGGUUCGGGCUGCUGGAGCUGCUCAGGAAGCACCCGGAGCACUUCGUCAUCAACACAAAAUGGAAGGGCAGGGCGAUCUCGGAGUUCGUUUCGCUGGUUUCCUUGCUCUCCUAG